rnacentral:rRNA from 1 species
GAAGGAGGAGCUUGCUCUUUCCGGAUGAGUUGCGAACGGGUGAGUAACGCGUAGGUAACCUGCCUGGUAGCGGGGGAUAACUAUUGGAAACGAUAGCUAAUACCGCAUAACAGUAGAUAUCGCAUGAUAGCUGCUUGAAAGGUGCAACUGCACCACUACCAGAUGGACCUGCGUUGUAUUAGCUAGUUGGUGAGGUAACGGCUCACCAAGGCAACGAUACAUAGCCGACCUGAGAGGGUGAUCGGCCACACUGGGACUGAGACACGGCCCAGACUCCUACGGGAGGCAGCAGUAGGGAAUCUUCGGCAAUGGACGGAAGUCUGACUGAGCAACGCCGCGUGAGUGAAGAAGGUUUUCGGAUCGUAAAGCUCUGUUGUAAGAGAAGAACGAGUGUGAGAGUGGAAAGUUCACACUGUGACGGUAUCUUACCAGAAAGGGACGGCUAACUACGUGCCAGCAGCCGCGGUAAUACGUAGGUCCCGAGCGUUGUCCGGAUUUAUUGGGCGUAAAGCGAGCGCAGGCGGUUAGAUAAGUCUGAAGUUAAAGGCUGUGGCUUAACCAUAGUACGCUUUGGAAACUGUUUAACUUGAGUGCAAGAGGGGAGAGUGGAAUUCCAUGUGUAGCGGUGAAAUGCGUAGAUAUAUGGAGGAACACCGGUGGCGAAAGCGGCUCUCUGGCUUGUAACUGACGCU